UGAUGAUGGUGGUGGUGGUGGUACAGGCCUGGUCAUUAUCCACGCCUGGUACGGCCGGCUCAUCACUGAUGCGAGCGGCCGUGGGGAGCGUCCCCACGUUAUCGACGUCACGACCCCCCUGCAGUGCCUCGUCAGAGACUCCAAGCUCAUCCUCACUGACGCACGCAAGGCGGGGCUGCCCGGGUUCUACGACCCGUGUGUGGGUGAGGAGAAGGCGUUGAAGGUUCUCUACCAGUUCCGUGGCGCGCUGCACCAGGUCACCGUCCCCGACACCGAGUCACUGCGGAUCCCCAAGCAGUCUCACCGCUUCGAGGAAAACUGAGGGUGGACUGGAGCACGAUUCCACUUGGCAACAUCAACAACAUCAACAUCAUCAACAACAUCAUCAACAACAUCAACAUCAUCAACAACAUCAACAACAUCAUCAACAUCAUCAACAACAUCAAUAUCAUUAACAUCAUCA